AUUGAACGCUGGCGGCAGGCUUAACACAUGCAAGUCGAACGAGUGGCGGACGGGUGAGUAAUGCUUGGGAAACUGCCCGCUGUAGGGGGGUAACUACUGGAAACGGUAGCUAAUACCGCAUACCAUCAGAUGUGCCCAGAUGGGAUUAGAUAGUAGGUGGGGUAAUGGCUCACCUAGUCGACGAUCCCUAGCUGGUCUGAGAGGAUGAACAGCCACAUUGGAACUGAGACACGGUCCAGACUCCGACGUGAGGCAGCAGUGGGGAAUAUUGAACAAUGGGCGCAAGCCAGAUGACGCCAGGCCGCGUGUGUGAAGAAGGCCUUCGGGUUGUAAAGCACUUUCAGCGAGGAGGCGUUACUCGCAGAAGAAGCACCGGCUAACUCCGUGCCAGCAGCCGCGGUAAUAC
rnacentral:rRNA from 1 species